rnacentral:rRNA from 1 species
GACGAACGCUGGCGGCGUGCCUAACACAUGCAAGUCGAGCGAGGUAUUUAUACCUAGCGGCGGACGGGUGAGUAACACGUGGUAACCUGCCUCAUAGAGGGGAAUAGCCUUCCGAAAGGGAGAUUAAUACCGCAUAAUAUAUACCGGUAGCAUUAAUGGUAUAUCAAAGGAGAAAUCCGCUAUGAGAUGGGCCCGCGGCGCAUUAGCUAGUUGAGAGGUAACGGCUCACCAAGGCGACGAUGCGUAGCCGACCUGAGAGGGUGAUCGGCCACAUUGGAACUGAGACACGGUCCAGACUCCUAC